rnacentral:rRNA from 1 species
GUCUACUAGUUGUCGGGUUUUAAUUAACUUGGUAACGCAGCUAACGCGUGAAGUAGACCGCCUGGGGAGUACGGUCGCAAGAUUAAAACUCAAAGGAAUUGACGGGGACCCGCACAAGCGGUGGAUGAUGUGGAUUAAUUCGAUGCAACGCGAAAAACCUUACCUACCCUUGACAUGUACGGAAGGCCGGAGAGAUUUGGCUGUGCUCGAAAGAGAACCGUAACACAGGUGCUGCAUGGCUGUCGUCAGCUCGUGUCGUGAGAUGUUGGGUUAAGUCCCGCAACGAGCGCAACCCUUGUCAUUAGUUGCUACGAAAGGGCACUCUAAUGAGACUGCCGGUGACAAACCGGAGGAAGGUGGGGAUGACGUCAAGUCCUCAUGGCCCUUAUGGGUAGGGCUUCACACGUCAUACAAUGGUACAUACAGAGCGCCGCCAACCCGCGAGGGGGAGCUAAUCGCAGAAAGUGUAUCGUAGUCCGGAUUGUAGUCUGCAACUCGACUACAUGAAGUUGGAAUCGCUAGUAAUCGCGGAUCAGCAUGUCGCGGUGAAUACGUUCCCGGGUCUUGUACACACCGCCCGUCACACCAUGGGAGCGGGUUUUACCAGAAGUAGGUAGCUUAACCGCAAGGAAGGCGCUUACCACGGUAGGAUUCGUGACUGGGGUGAAGUCGUUACCAAGGUAGCCGUAUCGGAAGGUGCC